CAAUAGCGUAUAUUAAAGUUGUUGCAGUUAAAAAGCUCGUAGUUGAAUUUUUGCUUGCCGCCGAUGUCGGAACUUCCGUACGUUCGGCGGCGUGCAUCCUUGGGUGGAACCUGUGUGGCAUUAGGUUGUCGUGCAGGGGAUGCUCAUCGUUUACUGUGAAAAAAUUAGGGUGUUCAAAGCAGGCUUACGCCGUUGAAUAUAUUAGCAUGGAAUAAUAAGAUAGGACCUUGGUACUAUUUUGUUGGUUUGCGCACCGAGGUAAUGAUUAACAGGGACAGUUGGGGGUAUUCGUAUUCCAUUGUCAGAGGUGAAAUUCUUGGAUUUCUGGAAGACGAACUACUGCGAAAGCAUUUACCAAGGAUGUUUUCAUUAA
rnacentral:rRNA from 1 species